rnacentral:rRNA from 1 species
CAAGUCGAACGAAAAGAGGGAAAGAGCUUGCUCUUUCCGGAAUUGAGUGGCAAACGGGUGAGUAACACGUGGGUGACCUACCUUUUCGUUGGGGAUAACAGUUGGAAACGAUUGCUAAUACCGAAUAAAAUAUAAAAGCCAAUUUUAUAUUGAAAGGAGCCUUUAAAGCUUCGCGAUUAGAUGGGCCUGCGGCGUAUUAACUAGUUGGUGAGGUAAUGGCUUACCAAGGUGACGAUGCGUAGCCGAACUGAGAGGUUGAUCGGCCACAUUGGGACUGAGAUACGGCCCAGACUCC